rnacentral:misc_RNA from 1 species
GAUGAAGAACGCAGCGAAAUGCGAAAAGUAAUGUGAAUUGCAGAAUUCAGUGAAUCAUCGAAUCUUUGAACGCACAUUGCGCCCGCCAGCACUCUGGCGGGCAUGCCUGUUCGAGCGUCAUUUCAACCAUCAAGCCCCCAGGGGCUUGUGCUGGGGCCCUGCGGCUGCCCGCAGGCCCUGAAAACCAGUGGCGGGCUCGCUAGUCACACCGAGCGCAGUAGCACAUCUCGCUCAGGGCGUGCGGCGGGCUCCUGCCGUGAAACCCCCCACUGUAACCCCAAAGGUUGACCUCGGAUCAGGUAGGAAUACCCGCUGAACUUAAGCAUAUCAAUAAGCGGAUGA